rnacentral:rRNA from 1 species
GGCAACCCUGACGGAGCAAUACCGCGUGGGGGAGGAAGGCUCUUGGGUCGUAAACCCCUUUUCUCAGGGAAGAACACAAUGACGGUACCUGAGGAAUCAGCAUCGGCUAACUCCGUGCCAGCAGCCGCGGUAAUACGGAGGAUGCAAGCGUUAUCCGGAAUCAUUGGGCGUAAAGCGUCCGUAGGUGGUGUUUCAAGUCUGCUGUUAAAGCCCGGGGCUCAACCCUGGAGGAGCAGUGGAAACUGGAGUACUGGAGUGCGGUAGGGGUAGAGGGAAUUCCCGGUGUAGCGGUGAAAUGCGUAGAUAUCGGGAAGAACACCAGUGGCGAAAGCGCUCUACUGGACCGUAACUGACACUGAUGGACGAAAGCUAGGGGAGCG